CUUAGUUCUACUUUUUUUACUAUACAUCUUUGUAAUAAUAUUUAAUCUAGAAUCAACACAAAUUAAGAAUUUAAACAACUUUAAAAGACUUUUAAAAGUUUUUAAAUGUUUGUGUCUGUUCAGUGAGGCAGGGGUGUCUGUCAUGCCUGUGUUGGGUGUGAGUGUGUGUGGAGGUCAGGCCAGGUCAGGUACACUCCUCUUCCUCCAUCUGUUUCUCCUCCUCCCUCUGUUUUUCCUCCUCCUCCCUCUGUUUGUGCGUCAGAGCUAAAGCAGCAGCAGCAGCAGCAGGGCGGAAGCGGCUCUGUGUUCAGUACUAUACUACACACUGGAUACACACCUGUGGAUCUCAUCGACAGAGAAGAAACUCUCCAGAUUCUCUACAGGAGAUUGUAUUCCUGGAAAUCCAGCCUCGACACCAGAGGAGGUAAUGCAGAGGUUCACCCAGCCAGUGGAAGGAAGUGUUUUUUGUCAGACUCCCAGCUGAAGCACAAUGGAAACUUCCUGCUUUUUCUCAGAUACAAGAGAUACACCAGAUACACAGCACUUAAUCCACUCCCAGUGUGAACAGAGAAGAGAUGAGCAGUAGUUAUCUAAAUAGGUCAAACAGAAAGAACCAGGCUCUACCAGUCUACUGAGGAGCUUUGGUUGGAAACAGACAGUCUUUCAUGAGCAAGAUAUUGUUUAAACAGUAAAGAAGUAUUGGAGGAUUAAAACCUGACUUUUCAUUAACUCACUAACCAUAUGAUGAGCGAGUGUGCCGUACUGGAAAACCUCAGUGAAGAUGGCUUUCACAGCUGUGAGGGCUUUGCAGAUUGGUCCUCCUACAGCCCUGUACACUGGAAUGGGAAUCAGGAGGACAGCAGCAACAGUUUUGGGGACUGGAGUACUUUUAAUAGUAAUCUCAGCAAAGACAAAGAACCUGCACGCUCAGAAUCGCCUCCAGAAGAGGGACGUUCUGGUCACACACACAAGGUGGAGAAAAGUAACAAGCUCAGAUCCUCGUCUGUGUUCUAUGACUGCUUCCAUGCUGAGGAGACCAUAAAAGAUACGGCUGUAAUGGAGAUCCCGCCACUGUCCCAACUGCUGCUCAACUCAGCAUCUACACCUCCUCAACCAGCAGCACUAUCAAGAUUUUGGUAACCUGCUUUGACCCCACAGGACCACCACAGAGCAGCUAUUAUUAUUUAGAUGGUGAAUUAUUCUCAGCACUGCAGUCACACCUGAUAUGGUGAUAGUGUUUGUUUCACUGGUACAAGUGAAUCACACAGCAGUGCAGCUGGAGUUUUUUUUUUUUAAAUAGCUCUGUGUCACUGCUGCACUGAGAAUAAUACACCAGCAAACGUUGUCCUGUGGGCUGUGUCUUGUGACCAAAAAUGAAGGACUAGAGGACAACCAACAGAAGAAAAGAAACUGUACAACAACAGAUGAGCGUCUGUUUCUUAUUUUCUACAUGGUGGAGCAGCUUAGAAGGAAUGUCUAAUAGAGUGCAUAGUGAGUGAACACAGUGUUUAAAAACUCCAGCAGCAC
rnacentral:lncRNA from 1 species